AGGACGAACGCUGGCGGCGUGCUUAACACAUGCAAGUCGAGCGGAAAGGCCCUUCGGGGUACUCGAGCGGCGAACGGGUGAGUAACACGUGAGCAAUCUGCCCUUAGCUUCGGGAUAGCCCCGGGAAACCGGGAUUAAUACCGAAUAUGACCUUGGCCGACAUCGGCCUUGGUGGAAAGUUUUUCGGCUAGGGAUGAACUCGCGGCCUAUCAGCUUGUUGGUGGGGUAAUGGCCUACCAAGGCGACGACGGGUAGCCGGCCUGAGAGGGCGACCGGCCACACUGGGACUGAGACACGGCCCAGACUCCUACGGGAGGCAGCAGUGGGGAAUAUUGCGCAAUGGGCGAAAGCCUGACGCAGCGACGCCGCGUGGGGGAUGAAGGCCUUCGGGUUGUAACCCCUUUCAGCAGGGACGAAGCGAGAGUGACGGUACCUGCAGAAGAAGCGCCGGCUAACUACGCGCCAGCAGCCGC
rnacentral:rRNA from 1 species